rnacentral:piRNA from 1 species
UAGAUGAUAGGUACAUAGA